GGUCCUUUAGUAUAAGCAGGCUGUACGACUACCCUUCACGUAAUUAGUGCCAGUUCGAAUCUGGUAAGGACUA
rfam:Plicaturopsis crispa FD-325 SS-3 unplaced genomic scaffold PLICRscaffold_109, whole genome shotgun sequence.